CUUAUUGUCACUUUGUUUUACAGUUUUUCUUGAUUUACCACCGUGAAAUUUCCAGAUCAGUAAGAUGAAGAGUAAACCAUGAAUUCCUCGCGGUCGACUCUUGAGUAACUACACGCUGGACUCUAACACAGAAGGGCAUCCGCUGCACAAAGGUCUCCCACCUGGCCUUCAGUUUUAAAGGCAACACAGGAAAUCACAGGCCAUUUGAUGAAUGCUAUGCUGCUAUGCUGUUCAGCUGGUCGUCUGUGUUUCCAGUGGCUUUGAUUACUGUGCUCCAGCCCACUUGGCGUCCCACAUCACUGGUAUAAGCUGGCAGUGGAGAGGAAGAGGCGAUGCUCACUGGCCUCUGAGGG